GCGGAUGGAGCUGACGAGAGUCGCAGAUACCAGGUGGCUGCAACUGUUUAUUAAAAACACAGCACUGUGCAAAAUCGCAAGAUGACGUAUACGGUGUGACGCCUGCCCGGUGCCGGAAGGUUAAUUGAUGGGGUUAGACUUAGGUCGAAGCUCUUGAUCGAAGCCCCGGUAAACGGCGGCCGUAACUAUAACGGUCCUAAGGUAGCGAAAUUCCUUGUCGGGUAAGUUCCGACCUGCACGAAUGGCGUAAUGAUGGCCACGCUGUCUCCACCCGAGACUCAGUGAAAUUGAAAUCGCUGUGAAGAUGCAGUGUACCCGCGGCUAGACGGAAAGACCCCGUGAACCUUUACUACAGCUUGGCACUGAACAUUGAACCUACAUGUGUAGGAUAGGUGGGAGACUUAGAAGCGCAGUCGCUAGAUUGCGUGGAGUCGACCUUGAAAUACCACCCUUGUCGUUUUGAUGUUCUAACGUAGGCCCCUCAUCGGGGUUGCGGACAGUGCCUGGUGGGUAGUUUGACUGGGGCGGUCUCCUCCCAAAGAGUAACGGAGGAGCACGAAGGUGGGCUAAUCACGGUUGGACAUCGUGAGGUUAGUGCAAUGGCAUAAGCCCGCUUAACUGCGAGAAUGACGGUUCGAGCAGGUACGAAAGUAGGUCAUAGUGAUCCGGUGGUUCUGAAUGGAAGGGCCAUCGCUCAACGGAUAAAAGGUACUCCGGGGAUAACAGGCUGAUACCGCCCAAGAGUUCAUAUCGACGGCGGUGUUUGGCACCUCGAUGUCGGCUCAUCACAUCCUGGGGCUGAAGUCGGUCCCAAGGGUAUGGCUGUUCGCCAUUUAAAGUGGUACGCGAGCUGGGUUUAGAACGUCGUGAGACAGUUCGGUCCCUAUCUGCCGUGGGCGUUGGAAGAUUGAAGGGGGCUGCUCCUAGUACGAGAGGACCGGAGUGGACGAACCGCUGGUGUUCGGGUUGUCAUGCCAAUGGCAUUGCCCGGUAGCUAAGUUCGGAAUUGAUAAGCGCUGAAAGCAUCUAAGCGCGAAGCGAGCCCUGAGAUGAGUCUUCCCUGGCACUUUAAGUGUCCUAAAGGGUUGUUCGAGACUAGAACGUUGAUAGGUUGGGUGUGUAAGCGCUGCGAGGCGUUGAGCUAACCAAUACUAAUUGCCCGUGAGGCUUAACCAUACAACACCGAAGGGGUUUUGU
rnacentral:rRNA from 1 species